AGUGGCUUAGUGAAUAACGCGAUGACAUUUGAAGCUGACGGUAUUGUGAUCGAGUGUCGGAGCAAACAUCAACUCUGAGAUGUAGGUUCAUUCAGCUGACGAGUCUCAUCCAGGACGAAACGCGCAUC
rnacentral:hammerhead_ribozyme from 1 species